rnacentral:rRNA from 1 species
GGGAAUCUACCUUUUGCUACGGAAUAACUCAGGGAAACUUGUGCUAAUACCGUAUGUGCCCUUCGGGGGAAAGAUUUAUCGGCAAAGGAUGAGCCCGCGUUGGAUUAGCUAGUUGGUGGGGUAAAGGCCCACCAAGGCGACGAUCCAUAGCUGGUCUGAGAGGAUGAUCAGCCACACUGGGACUGAGACACGGCCCAGACUCCUACGGGAGGCAGCAGUGGGGAAUAUUGGACAAUGGGCGAAAGCCUGAUCCAGCAAUGCCGCGUGAGUGAUGAAGGCCUUAGGGUUGUAAAGCUCUUUUACCCGGGAUGAUAAUGACAGUACCGGGAGAAUAAGCUCCGGCUAACUCCGUGCCAGCAGCCGCGGUAAUACGGAGGGAGCUAGCGUUGUUCGGAAUUACUGGGCGUAAAGCGCACGUAGGCGGCUAUUCAAGUCAGGGGUGAAAUCCCGGGGCUCAACCCCGGAACUGCCUCUGAAACUAGAUGGCUAGAAUCUUGGAGAGGUCAGUGGAAUUCCGAGU